rnacentral:rRNA from 1 species
GACGAACGCUGGCGGCGUGCUUAACACAUGCAAGUCGAACGGAAAGGCCCUGCUUUUGUGGGGUGCUCGAGUGGCGAACGGGUGAGUAACUCGUGAGUAGCCUGCCCUUGACUUUGGGAUAACUUCAGGAAACUGGGGCUAAUACCGGAUAGGAGCUCCUGCUGCAUGGUGGGGGUUGGAAAGUUUCGGCGGUUGGGGAUGGACUCGCGGCUUAUCAGCUUGUUGGUGGGGUAGUGGCUUACCAAGGCUUUGACGGGUAGCCGGCCUGAGAGGGUGACCGGCCACAUUGGGACUGAGAUACGGCCCAGACUCCUACGGGAGGCAGCAGUGGGGAAUAUUGCACAAUGGGCGGAAGCCUGAUGCAGCAACGCCGCGUGCGGGAUGACGGCCUUCGGGUUGUAAACCGCUUUCGCCUGUGACGAAGCGUGAGUGACGGUAAUGGGUAAAGAAGCACCGGCUAACUACGUG